rnacentral:rRNA from 1 species
AUGACCGCCGCCGCAUGGCCGGUCUGCACCAUCUGCUACGAGGACCUCCGCCCGCUCUCCGACCAGCACAUCUACUGCCUCCCCUCCUGCGGCCACGUCUUCCACGCCCUCUGCGUAGAGCAAUGGCUGGAGUACUGCCCGAGCGCGGGCGGCAAGAAGAAGGGUAAGUGCCCCAUCUGCAAGCAGGCCUGCGGCGCCUCUCACCCCCCGACUCGCCUCUUCUUCCAGUCCACCGGCGCGUGCCCCACGCAGGCGCCCCCCUCCUCGUCGCAGGACGCCGACCCGGAGGCGCUCGCCGAAGAGGUUGCCCGGCUGGAGCAGAAGGCGUCGUCCCUUGGCAAGGUGCUCGAGGAGCAGCGCGAUGGGAUCCAGAAGCUCAACGCCGAGAUCGUCAGGUGGAAGGAGCAGGCGGCGACCGCGGAGACGAUGCGGGAGUCGGCUAGGAAGGAGAAAGAGUCUGUGCAGCGGCUGCUCAAUGCGAAAACAGAGGAGUUGUCGAGGAAGACGUCAGAGUGCGUGAGGUUGCAGGAGAGGAGCCUUGCGUUGGCGAAGGAGCUUGCGGCCCUGAAGCUGUCGACUGACACGAACCUUCAGGAAGAAGAGAUCCUAAAGUUGGCUUCAUUGGGUAACCAUGGCAACCUUGAGAAUGCUGUUGACGUCCUGAAGAGAUCACUUGCUCUCCGCAACAAGAGCUACAAAGACUUGAUGGUCCAAUGCAAUCAUCUGGGAAGAUCAGAAAGUCGUGCUCAGCAGAGGAUUGAGAAGGACAGGGAGCUGAUAAAGAAGUUGAGGGCAAAGGUACUUGAUCUUCAGAAGGAACUGGAAGAAAAGGAAAAUAAUGUCAUCAGAGACUUGAGGUCUUCAAAGAAAUUUAAAGCUGACCAGAACCAGACAAAUCCAGUGAAGGCCAGUGCUAAUAAUGGUUUCUCUAGUCCAAGUGCUGGAUAUGGGAAUCAAACGGUUAAGCUUGAUGAUGUGAUGCAAGAUGGAUGCAACGAGAAGGUUCAGUCGAACCAGGUGACCCCUGAAGCUAAAAAAGAUCCGAUCUUACAAGACAGCCUUGAAAUAAAGAUUGCAGAUGUGAUAGACUUAGAUGCGGAUGACAAAGGCACGAUAAAAUGUCCCGCCAAGCCGUUCGGGUAUAAUGAUUACACUUCGGAUACACGAAAUCAGUCCAGUCGCUGUGAACGUGGUACCGAAGAGCCCACGGCAUUCGGAUGUGAGCCUUCCUUCUAUGUACCAGAAGAAACAUCAUUUUUGAAACACACGGCAGCUACUGGAAAAUCAACAUUUCAGGAGUUUCUUAUGAAGACCAAACUGCAAAACGUUCAAGAGCUUCCUGUUCUGAGAAGCACGAAUGUUACAACUUCAACAUGUAAGAAAGAAUCACUGACAAUUGGUGGCAUCUCUAAACAAGCAACUAGGCUGGCUUCUGGCACUGGACCUCAGACAUUUCACAAUUUAAAUUCUCUUUCCGAUGAUGAUUUUCAAACGCUACCUGGAUGUACCGGUGAAGGGGCAAGAAAAGGCAUUGGCAAAUGGUCCAAGGGCAGGGCAGCACCCGGGUAUCUAGGUGCAAACACAAACAAGGGCAAUCUGAUAUCUGUGGGGCACGACGGGCGCGGGGGAAAGGUGAAAGUCCUGAGAAAUCAUGGCCGGUUCGCGGAUAGUAGGACUCCAGCAUUGUGGCCAAAGGCACAGCAGAAGGCUGUAGGCAAAGGUGGGCAGUCUAACCUAGAGCACUUCUUUGAGAAGAGAUGA